GGGAGAAGAGAGUGUCAAAAUAGCCAAGGACACUUGCCUAAACACCAACAUCUAAAAAGAUGUUCAAAAUGCCAAUUUCAAACACCUUUUAAUAAGAUAUAUUGUGAAGGCAAGUCAUCCUUGGCUACUCAACAACACUUUUCUCU
rfam:Ipomoea nil DNA, scaffold: scaffold2403, cultivar: Tokyo-kokei standard.